CUUGCCUACAGUGCAGCUUUGGAGCUAGUUUUCUAGGAGGGUUCUCCAUUUGAGAAGGUAGUCCUUUAAAGGACAAGGAAAUGCUGAAAGAGAAAUCUCCAGCCUGUUGGGAGGAGGAUAAGGUCACCCAAGAAAUGGAAGUUUCCUGCCAGUACCUCACUAUUAUCUGGAGACACUGAGAGGCCUGUGGUGGGGGGAAGGAAUAGAGCAGAGGCUGGGAGUGCAGGCACCUGCUAGGGUUUUUCUGGAUCGUUAAAACUGCCUCAGGUACCAAGAGGCUAAUACUGCCUGCCUUUGCUACUAAAAUGGAAUGAUGUUUGAAAAUGCAAGUCAUUAUUCCUGUGGCAAAAACUGCCUUGAGCCAUUUUCUCUUAGUUUUUAAAUAUAUGUUCAUAGUUUUUAAAUAUAUGUUCAUCUGUAGAUAAAACACCCCAGCAGAAUGUGAGCCUGCAGCCAACCCCCUUCUCCUUGUGCGCUGAGGUGUUACCGGGCAUGCUUGGAGGGUUCUCACAAGUCAGAAUUGAUGGCACGGUAUCCUUUGUGAUGCAGGUGCCCUGCCCUACCUCCCACCCACGGUGGCAAAAAUAGGACUAGGCUUUUCCUGGGUGGAGGCAAGAGUGAAGGGGGCAGGACUUGUUCUGUGAAUGUCAGACCGAUGCCCACCUUGGUGAUCUACUGUGGCUUUGGUUCCAGCACCCUGGGUAGCUGACCCCUGCCCAUCCACCCAUUCUCUCCCCCGGCCCAGCUAAGCACUGUGUUGGCCACUCAUGAGCCACGAUCCAGUUCUGUUUCUUGGAGCGCAAUGCUUUCCCCUCCACCAUGCAGAGCCAGAGAUGGAGGAGAAUGCAAAGCAGACACACUCCGUUCCUGAAUCACUUGUAGCUCUGCUUUGCCCAUACCCUGGGUCUGAUGAAAUAAAAUGUGUUAAGAUCCUUUAA